rnacentral:rRNA from 1 species
CAGUAGCCGCGGUAAUACGUAGGGCGCAAGCGUUAUCCGGAAUUAUUGGGCGUAAAGAGCUCGUAGGCGGUUUGUCGCGUCUGCCGUGAAAGUCCGGGGCUCAACCCCGGAUCUGCGGUGGGUACGGGCAGACUAGAGUGAUGUAGGGGAGACUGGAAUUCCUGGUGUAGCGGUGAAAUGCGCAGAUAUCAGGAGGAACACCGAUGGCGAAGGCAGGUCUCUGGGCAUUAUCUGACGCUGAGGAGCGAAAGCAUGGGGAGCGAACAGGAUUAGAUACCCGUGUAGUCCCUGUCUCUUAUAC